CCUACGGGUGGCAGCAGUGAGGAAUAUUGGUCAAUGGGCGCGAGCCUGAACCAGCCAAGUAGCGUGAAGGAUGACUGCCCUCCGGGUUGUAAACUUCUUUUAUAAAGGAAUAAAGUGAGGCACGUGUGCCUUUUUGUAUGUACUUUAUGAAUAAGGCUCGGCUAACUCCGUGCCAGCAGCCGCGGUAAUACGGAGGAUCCGAGCGUUAUCCGGUUUUAUUGGGUUUAAAGGGAGCGUAGAUGGGUUGUUAAGUCAGUUGUGAAAGUUUGCGGCUUAACCGUAAAAUUGCAAUUGAUACUGGCAGUCUUGAGUACAGUUGAGGUAGGCGGAAUUCGCGGUGUAGCGGUGAAAUGCUUAGAGAUCACGAAGAACUCCGAUGGCGAAGGCAGCUUACUAAGCUGUCACUGACAUUGAUGCUCGAAAGUGUGGGUAGCAAACAGGAUUAGAUACCCUAGUAGUC
rnacentral:rRNA from 1 species